UAAAACCAUAUGACUUAUAGAAGUUUUCUCUAGCAUUCUUAACCAUAUUGCUGUAAAUACAGUAAGCAGACUGAGUGAUUACCAGAUUGUACUCUUUGAAAGCGUUGAAACUGUCUGAAGGUUGUCUGCUUUUUGUGACAAAGUAAAAAAGUCAUUUAGUAAUAAAAUGCCUUUUCUCCUUUUUUUUUCCCCCCCCAACAUGUAUUGCUAAACUAUUUUUUGCUGCUGCAUCUUCUUGAUGGAAUCCUUCAUGCUUUUUGUCCACCUUUGAAUACUAUUGGCUAUCGUAAGAAUAGCAACUUGGAAAACUUUACCAGAGAUGAGGUGAAAACUGAUUGGCCUACAGUACCAUUAAGAAGUGAAUUGGCCGGUAAUCCCAUAAACAGUUGCAAAACACAGACAUCUCCAAUAGUAGAUAUGAAUAUUGAUUUGAAAACUCUUAUACAGGGCCAUCCAAGCAAUAAAGCCCUACGGAAAGAAUGCUCUGAAACCAGGAGAUAUGUUGCUGAUCGUUCCAGAGGCAGAAAGUCACAAAUGCCUGAGUUCAAAAACAGAAACAAAAAUGAAAAAGUCUUUAAAAGACGGAUGCGGACUACUUCAAGUUCAAAAGAUAUAACUGCUAAACCUUCAGUCUUUGCCUUGGCCUUGUCAUUUCAAUGUACUUCAAGACACCUUGAGAAAAGGUCCUGUAUCAUUCACAAAGCCUUCUUGUACAACUCACAGGUGCAAGUAGUGAAAAGGAAAGACCAGAAACCUUUAUUUAAGAUACCGCCAUUUUGCUUUCAGACGCCCUCUCCAGAUGACAUUGUUAAAGCCAAACAGAAAAAAGCCUUUACAAGGCAGUAACUACUUUUGAGUUGUUACUUUUCUUAAGGCAGCUGUACACUUUUUUUAUGUUGGUUUUUAACCAGAUAAUUCCUCAGGAAAUGCAUCUAUUUUUUUGUCUCCGUGAUUUAAUGUUUCUGAAAAAGACUCUGCAUUUGCAUACUGUUCUCUUAACUAAUUGAAAAUUGUUCACAACAAGAAACUUCUAAAGUUUGCAGUCCUUAGGGGUCUUCACCCACUAGGAUGUUGUUUUGCAAUAUUUUUUACAACAUUCAUUUACAAUUUACAUGCUUUUCCAUCCGGGGAAUGGACUUGAUUAUAAAGAGAAAGCAUAGCAAGGGCCCUGUCUGACGCAUUUUAAGACUCCUAGGUUAUAUACUGUUGUAGCAUUCUUAUACAAAAAUGCCUGCAUAUAUUGUACUUUACAUGAGAUUUUAGUUUUUCUCAGUGUUUUUUAGAUUCUGUUUUGAUAUUUAAUCACUGCCAUCUUUACUAACAUCUGAUACAUUUUAUUUCUAACAUUUCCUGUAAAGCUUUUUUUUUAAUUUGUUGCACUGAUAGGAAGACAUUUUAAUUUUCCAAAAUCUAGGUGAGAGAGAUGUCACUUUCAGCAAUACAAGAUUUGAAUUUGGUCUUAAAACUGAUGUUUAAAUGUUUUAGUUGUCAAAAUGUUUAAUAUGAAAACUUAGCAGAGCGACUGUGAUGAAUAAUUGAUGCGUUUUAAGUGAGAGCUAAGAAUUACAAAUUGAUAGAGACUGGAAGCAUAACAGAGGUUGAACAAGCCACACUACAAGGCUUUUUUUUAACAAAGGAAACUAUUUCACAGGUGCAAAUAACUUCAGAAGUGAUGAACAGUCAGUGUUGGCUGUUGGUUUACCACUGAACAGAAGCAUCAGGCAUUAAAGUGCAGUAAAACACCUGGAUUACAUUUUUUCCCCUUAAUUUUCUCAAAUUAAACAAUGGUAAAUGUUAGAACUGUAAUUCAAAUUUGCAAGCUACUUUUAAAACCAUUAUUAACAGAAUCUGCUUAAUUGAAAUCCUUUUUAAUCAUGCAACAUUACAAUGUGCAGGUUAGAAUGCUGGUUAUGUGUUCAUCAUUUCAGUUUGUGCCUGAUUAAAGGGUUUGUAGUGUAGGAACUGACCGUAAUGGGUUCAAAGGCAUUGGGAUAGAGCAGUGAUGCUGUUUUAUUUUUUCUUUUUUUAAAGUGUUUGUAAAAGCAUUCCAAUUUUUAUUAAGUAUUUUGUUUUCUGUAAGUAAAGUGGGUAAUAAAGAAAUGGCUGAUAUAGUUGUAUAUUUUGUAUUCAUUGCUAAACAUGUAAAUACUGCAAUAAAAAUGUUUGAUUUAUGCCGUGUGUUGGGUAGAGAACCAUUAAUAACUCGGAAGUUGUAUAGAUUUGUGUUCUGGUUUACUUGGGUCUUAUACUGAGCUUUCUUCAGGUGUUAUGGUUUUCCUGUCCUAUCCCAGUUACACUUUUUGUUUGGUUGGGAACUGGAUUUUCAACCAGCUAGAUCACUGAUAAACGGUUGCAUGUAUGCAAUCCCUAUUGCAAGUGUAUUAAUGUAAUUUACACACACGUAACUUCUUGCAUAAGUUUACUGUUUUUGAGUUGUACCUGAUGUUUUUCCCCCACCCCCAUGGUUAUUUUCCAGUUGGUCUACCCUCACUUAAUAAAUGAACACUGUUAUUGCA